CACGUAGGGCGCAAGCGUUGUCCGGAAUUACUGGGCGUAAAGCGCACGUAGGCGGAUUGCUAAGUCAGGGGGUGAAAUCCUGGAGCUCAACUCCAGAACUGCCUUUGAUACUGAAGAUCUUGAGUUCGGGAGAGGUGAGUGGAACUGCGAGUGUAGAGGUGAAAUUCGUAGAUAUUCGCAAGAACACCAGUGGCGAAGGCGGCUCACUGGCCCGAUACUGACGCUGAGGUGCGAAAGCGUGGGGAGCAAACAGG
rnacentral:rRNA from 1 species